rnacentral:rRNA from 1 species
UACGUAGGGUGCAAGCGUUGUCCGGAAUUAUUGGGCGUAAAGAGCUCGUAGGCGGUCUGUCGCGUCGGCUGUGAAAACCCGGAGCUCAACUCCGGGCCUGCAGUCGAUACGGGCAGACUGGAGUUCGGCAGGGGAGACUGGAAUUCCUGGUGUAGCGGUGAAAUGCGCAGAUAUCAGGAGGAACACCGGUGGCGAAGGCGGGUCUCUGGGCCGAUACUGACACUGAGAAGCGAAAGCGUGGGGAGCGAACAGG